rnacentral:rRNA from 1 species
AAAUUGAAGAGUUUGAUCAUGGCUCAGAUUGAACGCUGGCGGCAGGCCUAACACAUGCAAGUCGAACGGUAACAGGAAGCAGCUUGCUGCUUCGCUGACGAGUGGCGGACGGGUGAGUAAUGUCUGGGAAACUGCCUGAUGGAGGGGGAUAACUACUGGAAACGGUGGCUAAUACCGCAUAACGUCGCAAGACCAAAGAGGGGGACCUUCGGGCCUCUUGCCAUCAGAUGUGCCCAGAUGGGAUUAGCUUGUUGGUGAGGUAACGGCUCACCAAGGCGACGAUCCCUAGCUGGUCUGAGAGGAUGACCAGCCACACUGGAACUGAGACACGGUCCAGACUCCUACGGGAGGCAGCAGUGGGGAAUAUUGCACAAUGGGCGCAAGCCUGAUGCAGCCAUGCCGCGUGUAUGAAGAAGGCCUUCGGGUUGUAAAGUACUUUCAGCGGGGAGGAAGGUGUUGCGGUUAAUAACCGCAGCAAUUGACGUUACCCGCAGAAGAAGCACCGGCUAACUCC